UACGUAGGGGGCAAGCGUUGUCCGGAAUCAUUGGGCGUAAAGAGCGUGUAGGCGGCCCGGUAAGUCCGCUGUGAAAGUCCAGGGCUCAACCCUGGGAUGCCGGUGGAUACUGUCGGGCUCGAGUCCGGAAGAGGAGUGUGGAAUUCCUGGUGUAGCGGUGAAAUGCGCAGAUAUCAGGAGGAACACCAAUGGCGAAGGCAGCACUCUGGGACGUGACUGACGCUGAGGAGCGAAAGUGUGGGGAGCGAACAGG
rnacentral:rRNA from 1 species